GUGGGUUUUAGUGGGAAACAAGAAACAUAUUAUGAAGCACCGUAACAAUCAAAACUUUCAACAACGGAUCUCUUGGUUCUCGCAUCGAUGAAGAACGCAGCGAAAUGCGAUAAGUAAUACGAAUUGCAGCCUUCGUGAGUCAUUGAAUCUUUGAACGCACAUUGCGCCCACGGGUAUUCCCGUGGGCACGCCUGUUUGAGCAUGAUUUCUCCCUCCCAGGGUGUUGUGCAUUAGCAUGAAGGGCAGUGUGGCUGUGUAAUAAGUUAUUGCAGCCACUGUUUUUUGUUCUCAAAUCAGGUGGGACUACCCGCUGAACUUAAGCAUAUCAAUAAGCGGAGGA
rnacentral:rRNA from 2 species